rnacentral:misc_RNA from 1 species
GAUGAAGAACGUAGCGAAAUGCGAUACUUGGUGUGAAUUGCAGAAUCCCGUGAACCAUCGAGUCUUUGAACGCAAGUUGCGCCCGAAGCCUCGGCUAAGGGCACGUCUGCCUGGGCGUCACGCAUCGCGUCUCCCCCAAACCGCCAAGGCGGAGGGGAAGGAAGAUGGCUUCCCGUGCCUCACCCGGCGCGGUUGGCCUAAAUUUGGAGCCCGCGGCACUUAGCUCUCGCGGCGAUAGGUGGUGAACAAGGCCUUGGCCGUGCAAACAACCCGCUGCGAAGCUCUAUGUCACGUGCGCUCGUCGGACCCUUUGAAGUUGCCUUCGGUGACUUAAAACCUUUGCGACCCCAGGUCAGGCGGGGCUACCCGCUGAAUUUAAGCAUAUCAAUAAGGGGAGGA